UAUCAAAUGGCUGAAAGUAAGCAACGAUCUCUUAAAUCGAAAAAUAAUAAAUUAACAUAUAUUUUUGAUAA
rnacentral:tRNA from 1 species